UGCAGUCAGUACCCCCAAACCAAAGGGAGAAUACUGUGCACUCGGACCUCCCAGAUGGUGUGUGGAACAGACGGUGUGACACAUAGCGGCGAGUGUAUGCUGUGCGACCGAAUCCUGAAAACGAGAUCUGAGAUUGGUAUAAAGCAUAUAGGAGCGUGCACUCAGAAGUAAAGGAGUUCAGACCACCAGCAAGUACCAAAGCAGAAGCAUGACAAAGGGCAAGUCAUGGAAGAAUUGAUGUUAAGCAUGAAGGAAGUUGCUCUAAUCCUCAGUGCUG